GAUUACUGUUCAUCUCCCGUUCCGGCGGCAGUCAAUCUUUCUUUAGAUCAAACUGAAGAACUCCGAAAGGAGGUGAAGCGCUUGAAGAAGCAAGUGGAAGAGCUGUCUGUCCGUCACAGUUUUUGCUUGGGGCGUUUUGCUGCAUCUGACGAUGACAUACGGUUCUUUACUAGGUUUGUGACCUACAGUCAUCUCAUGGCGUUCUGGAGACUCAUUGAGCCUGCAACCAACAGAAUGGUUCGUGUGACAAGGGCAAAAGCAGCUACAAGAAGUGGUGAAGUUGGAGCAACAGGCAAUGCAUCUGGUCACUCCCUAAUGUCGGCUGAUGAGGUAAGGAAGACGCAGUCCAUUGCUCGUCUGAGGGUCCACGUUGAGCGUCUCAUCCGCAGGGUGAAGCAACACAAACUGUUUGAUGCUGUCAUCCCUCUUUCAAUCACAGGAAGCAUAAACCAGCUAUACACUGUUGCUUGCCUUCUUGUCAACUACCAGAAUGGGCCCUUGGUAAAAGCAUGGGCAAUGGAUUAAAGACUUUGUAUGGGAUGGAUACAUUUUGAUUGGCAGAGAAUCCUAUGUAAAUUAAAUGUAUUUGCUAUGUAUGUUUUUGUAAUCGAGUAACAGAAGCAUUUCUUUCACAAUGCUAAUGUAAAAACUGUAAUGCAGCAAUGUCAAUAAGUAAUUUUGAUGCAGUUUUAAUGUACACCACUAAUGUAAACAUGAAAAUAACUUUGAUACAGUUUCUGUAAACAUGUACAUAACUGAUACAGUGUUUCUGUAAACAAGAAAAUAUAAAUAACUUUCAUAAAGCUAAGCUUGUAAAGUGCACCACUAAUGUAAACAUGUAAAUAACUUUGAUGCAGCUGAGCGCCACUAACGUAAACAUGUAAAUAACUGUGAUACAGCUUGUAAGGUAUAGUUCACCCAAAAAUGAAAAUUCUGUCAUCAUUUAUGGAUAAUCUUAAGACCAUCUAAGUGUAUUCAACUGUGUAUUCUGCUUUGAGAGACCAUGAAUAUGAACUGAAAUGUAUGUAGUUACCAAUUGUAGUAAACUUAAACCCAUUUUUGUCUAAAAGUAGGGUUUGAGUUUACUUUAGGUUUUGAGAGAUAGUAUCUUAAAGGUGUGUUUUAAUUUAUAUUGUUGAUGUCUAAAAAAUUGCACAGUUGAGUACACUUACAUGUUCUCAAGUUUAUCAUAGGAGGU